rnacentral:rRNA from 1 species
ACGAACCGUACGAACGUUAUUCGGAAUUACUGGGCUUAAAGGGUGCGUAGGCUGCGCGGAAAGUUGGGUGUGAAAUCCCUCGGCUCAACCGAGGAACUGCGCCCAAAACUACCGUGCUCGAGGGAGACAGAGGUGAGCGGAACUUAGGGUGGAGCGGUGAAAUGCGUUGAUAUCCUAAGGAACACCCGUGGCGAAAGCGGCUCACUGGGUCUCUUCUGACGCUGAGGCACGAAAGCUAGGGUAGCGAACGGGA